rnacentral:lncRNA from 1 species
CAUCAUAUUCCCCCUUCACGCGAGCACCGCCGCUCGGCAGCCUCCACAUCCGCCGGCUCGGCUCCCUCGGCGGCCGCUGUGCCCCACGCCGACAUGAGCGCCCAUCCAAAGGGAAAUAAAGAAGUAGACAACAAAACAAAGAGCGAUGUUAAUAUAACCACAUCAUUCAAUUCACAUGUCAAGAUACAAUAGGAAGUCUUUCCACCAAGCGGUUUGAUACAUACAAUUAAACUCAGGAAAAUAAUUUUCACCACUUAUAGAUAAUAAGCAGCUGUAAGGGGGCAUGUAGACAACCGCAUACCAGUAUAGAUGCAAAUAACUUCCAAAAUAAACGUAUGCCACAGGAAAAGUAAACUCCAACAUAUUACCAAAGAGACAAUAAAAGCUCUAAACCAAAAAAUCUAAGAAAUGCUCAAUUCAGUUUACUUAAUAGUUACGAAAUUAAUUAUUCUCGGUCAGGUGGUUCUGGUAUACUUAAGAAAACACUUGUAGACUUCAAGUACAGAUAAAUACUCAAGCUACAUGGAACUAUAGUCAACAACAUAGUUCUAUAAUAACAAGUGAUUCCAAUUAAACACAACUGCUCAGAACCAUGGAGCUGGAGCUUUAUAAAAUCAUGCUACUAAUUAUCUUAGACACCAAUUAAACUCAUAUGCGGACCAUGGUCAACUGUGGGUUUAUACACUCGUCAGAAAUAUUGGCCACUAAAAACAUAACAACAUUAAUACAGUCAACACAUACCUCAAGUACUGAAGGACUGAGGCACUGAUCAUCUGUUUGACUCGUUUUCACUUCUGCAUACGCUAUUUUUAUAAAGUGAUCGAGCAGGGGUGCAGCAUCGUCGAGCAGGGGCGGCGGCGACAGCCAGACCACCUUGAGCACCACGGUCCGGAAGCCAAGAGCAUGAGCAGACCAAAAUCAGAAUGGAUUAACCAGGAAACCCUAGACAAAUCCCUAAAAAACAACAAAGCCCUUGAUGAGCACAUACACAUCACAAAGGGAAAGACAAACAAGGGAGCAAAUAAUCACCUCAGCCAUCUUAGAAGCCCACUCGGUGUGCUCCCUCACCGGCCGACCCGCAAGACAGCCCCAACGCCACGCCACCGUCCCAACCGUGAAACAGCCAGAGAAGCAAGGAAGAUGGUAAGAAACAAGCGAAAUAAAAGGUAGUGGGCUCCAAUACAAACAUUAACCAGCCUAAAGACGUUGUUAUUAGAAACAUGACACCGUGGUUUCUGCUGGUUUAUCAACAAAUUAAAAC